rnacentral:lncRNA from 1 species
UGGGUGAGACUGAACAAUUUUAUGUAAAUUUUCAUUUUAAACAAGAACGUUUUCAAACAGUUCUAUGUGGGCUCUCUAGAGGUGAAUUUCAUACUUUCAUUGAUUUGCUUGAUUCAUAUUUUUCAAUUAAAGUUGAAAACUUUGUGCAAGGGCACAUGUGUUAACAGUAUCUCAUAACCGUUUUCCCCUCGAACUUGCGCUGUGUGGUGGCUAAAGUUCUACCAUGAGGUCACUGCAUGCGGGAAAAUAUCAGCAAAUUAGUGUCUGGGAAGUCAAUAGUUCAAUAUUGGUACAUGUAAGAAAUUAAAAAGGAUUUUCUUUAAAAAAAAAAGUUUUUACAUUCACUGCUCUAAAGAGAAAAAACUUAGCCCUUCAAGUAUGUAAGACAUGUUUAAUUUCUAUUUUUUAAAAGGAGUAUGUUCAGUAAGGUCCUAAAAUGGCCCCCUUUUUUAGCGUAAAUUUCAAAUUCGGAUUUAUUGACCAAUAUCACAAUAAAUUAAAGCUAAUAUAGUGACUAGAUAGGAAAUAAGCUAUUUUGUUGAAAACUUUACGUUUCUACGUUACAUUAUGACGUCACAAGUUGCACUCAUAUUGAUUUUUCACGAAAAAAUCAAUGAAAAAAGGUAAAUUUCAAUAGAUUAUUGGACAGGAAACAUAGAGCGCAUACGUCGACAACAAAGAUCUUUUAAAAUAAUGUUUGUGAAGACAUUU